rnacentral:rRNA from 1 species
UACGGAGGUGGCAAGCGUUGUUCGGAAUUACUGGGCGUAAAGGGCGCGUAGGCGGCCUUCUAAGUCAGACGUGAAAUCCCCCGGCUUAACCUGGGAACUGCGUCUGAUACUGGGAGGCUUGAGUAUGGGAGAGGGAUGUAGAAUUCCAGGUGUAGCGGUGAAAUGCGUAGAUAUCUGGAGGAAUACCGGUGGCGAAGGCGGCAUCCUGGACCGGCAUUGACGCUGAGGAGCGAAAGCUAGGGGAGCAAACGGG